CCUACGGGAGGCAGCAGUGGGGGAUAUUGCACAAUGGGGGAAACCCUGAUGCAGCGACGCCGCGUGGGUGAAGAAGCGCCUCGGCGCGUAAAGCCCUGUCAGCAGGGAAGAAAAUGACGGUACCUGAAGAAGAAGCCCCGGCUAACUACGUGCCAGCAGCCGCGGUAAUACGUAGGGGGCAAGCGUUAUCCGGAUUUACUGGGUGUAAAGGGGGCGCAGACGGCGAUGCAAGCCAGGAGUGAAAGCCCGGGGCCCAACCCCGGGCCUGCUCUUGGAACUGGGUGGCUAGAGUGCAGGAGGGGCAGGCGGAAUGCCUGGUGUAGCGGUGAAAUGCGUAGAUAUCAGGAGGAACACCGGUGGCGAAGGCGGCCUGCUGGACUGCAACUGACGUUGAGGCACGAAAGCGUGGGGAGCAAACAGGAUUAGAUACCCUUGUAGUC
rnacentral:rRNA from 1 species